AGAGUUUGAUCAUGGCUCAGAACGAACGCUGGCGGCGUGGAUAAGACAUGCAAGUCGAACGAGACUUUUCGUUGUAGCAAUACGAUGGAAAGUUUAGUGGCGAACGGGUGCUUAACACGUGGGCAACCUGCCAUGAAGUGGGGGAUAGCUCGCCGAAAGGCGAAUUAAUACCGCAUAUGAUUAGAGAGGACAUCCUUUCGAAAUUAAAGUCGGGGCAACCUGACGCUUCUUGUGGGGCCCGCGGCCUAUCAGCUAGUUGGUGAGGUAACGGCUCACCAAGGCUUUGACGGGUAGCUGGUCUGAGAGGACGACCAGCCACACUGGGACUGAGACACGGCCCAGACACCUACGGGUGGCAGCAGUCGAGAAUUUUUGACAAUGGGGGAAACCCUGAUCGAGCGACGCCGCGUGGAGGAUGAAGGUCUUCGGAUUGUAAACUCCUGUCAUUGGGGAACAAGGUGCAUAUGUUAACUGCGUGUGCAUUGAUAGUACCCGAAGAGGAAGAGACGGCUAACUCUGUGCCAGCAGCCGCGGUAAUUC
rnacentral:rRNA from 1 species